rnacentral:snoRNA from 1 species
AGUCUCCUGGUGCUUACCACAGGCUAUGUUCUUAUACUGACUGUACAGAAGGAGGAGGCAGAGUAAGCCUACCCGACAUGCACCUCAGCCCCAGCCCUGUGCCUGGUCUGUGUUGUGAAUGAGGGGACAUGG